rnacentral:rRNA from 1 species
CGUGAGGAACUUGCCCAUGAGCGGGGGACAACAUUCGGAAACGGAUGCUAAUACCCCAUAGGUGGAUUGGUCGCAUGACGAAUUCAUUAAAGGUGGCUUUGCUACCACUCAUGGAUAGCCUCGCGGCGUAUUAGCUAGUUGGUAAGGUAAUGGCUUACCAAGGCAGUGAUACGUAGUCGACUUGAGAGGGUGAUCGGCCACACUGGGACUGAGACACAGCCCAG